AGUGAACGCCGGCGGUAGGCCUAACACAUGCAAGUCGAACGGCAGCACAGUAAGAGCUUGCUCUUACGGGUGGCGAGUGGCGGACGGGUGAGGAAUACAUCGGAAUCUACUUUUUCAUGGGGGAUAACGUAGGGAAACUUACGCUAAUACCGCAUACGACCUACGGGUGAAAGCAGGGGAUCUUCGGACCUUGCGCGAUUGAAUGAGCCGAUGUCGGAUUAGCUAGUUGGCGGGGUAAAGGCCCACCAAGGCGACGAUCCGUAGCUGGUCUGAGAGGAUGAUCAGCCACACUGGAACUGAGACACGGUCCAGACUCCUACGGGAGGCAGCAGUGGGGAAUAUUGGACAAUGGGCGCAAGCCUGAUCCAGCCAUACCGCGUGGGUGAAGAAGGCCUUCGGGUUGUAAAGCCCUUUUGUUGGGAAAGAAAAGCAGCAGGUUAAUACCCCGCUGUUCUGACGGUACCCAAAGAAUAAGCACCGGCUAACUUCGUG
rnacentral:rRNA from 1 species